rnacentral:rRNA from 1 species
ACCGCCAGCUAAGGUCCCAAAGUCAUGGUUAAGUGGGAAACGAUGUGGGAAGGCCCAGACAGCCAGGAUGUUGGCUUAGAAGCAGCCAUCAUUUAAAGAAAGCGUAAUAGCUCACUGGUCGAGUCGGCCUGCGCGGAAGAUGUAACGGGGCUAAACCAUGCACCGAAGCUGCGGCAGCGACGCUUAUGCGUUGUUGGGUAGGGGAGCGUUCUGUAAGCCUGUGAAGGUGUACUGUGAGGUAUGCUGGAGGUAUCAGAAGUGCGAAUGCUGACAUAAGUAACGAUAAAGCGGGUGAAAAGCCCGCUCGCCGGAAGACCAAGGGUUCCUGUCCAACGUUAAUCGGGGCAGGGUGAGUCGACCCCUAAGGCGAGGCCGAAAGGCGUAGUCGAUGGGAAACAGGUUAAUAUUCCUGUACUUGGUGUUACUGCGAAGG